rnacentral:rRNA from 1 species
AGAUUGAACGCUGGCGGCAUGCCUUACACAUGCAAGUCGAACGGUAGAGUAGCAAUACUUGAGAGUGGCGAACGGGUGAGUAAUAUAUCGGAACGUGCCCAGUCGUGGGGGAUAACGUAGAGAAAUUUACGCUAAUACCGCAUACGAUCCAAGGAUGAAAGCGGGGGACCGUAAGGCCUCGCGCGACUGGAGCGGCUGAUAUCAGAUUAGCUUGUUGGUGAGGUAAAAGCUCACCAAGGCGACGAUCUGUAGCUGGUUUGAGAGAACGACCAGCCACACUGGGACUGAGACACGGCCCAGACUCCGUACGGGAGCAGCAGUGGGGAAUUUGGACAGUGGCGAAAGCC